AAAAGAGAAAGUGCCCUUCUCUUAUACCCACUAAAUUAUCAAAAUUUAGUGAACUCUCUCCCUUGCAUAGUAAAAAUACCUUUCUUAUACGUGCUAUUUACCACAGAGUUCAUCAGUAAUUGGGAACAGAUGGAGUCUGAUUCCAGCAUUGGCACUCAAUGUCCAGCUCUGGGUAAAUCGCUCGGUCUCUCUGUGUCCCUGUGUGUCAUACCUCUUCAGCAACACCAUCUUCACAAGGGUGCUGUGGGGCCAAAUUCAGUAGUUUUAUGAAGCUCCUUGAAGUCUUUAGGCUAAAGGAGUUACAAAAGAGAGUCAGCCAGGUUUUUGUGUUGAAGAUGAUUUUUUUUUUAUUGCAAAUGUACGUGUUACACUACUGGUAAUAUACAGAAAUUUAAAAAGCUACUGUUUCAUGAUUACAAAACUUCACAAAAUUUGUUACAACUAAAAAAAUCCACCUUCAAGAGUAUAUAAAUAGAAUUUUGAGCAUAAAUAAUAGUAACAAAAUAAACAGAUGUAUGCAUUCAAUAAAUUAAUUAUAAAUAUUGCAUUGGCAAUGAAGUGCUAGGUCAGAAGAAGGCUAGUAUUUCCAGUAGAGUUUUUUUGGUAUAGAAAUCUCUAUUAUAAACGAACCUUUGGAAAGGAGUAAAAUCCCUGAACCCUUUUCUCACAUUCCUUUUUGGGAGGAGUUUCAGGUUUGUUAUUCCUUUGUCAAAUUGUUGCAACAGGAGAACUGAACUGAAGGUAUCAGACAUGCACCUCUUGGCCAUAAGGUACCCACAGUCUUUCCCUGAAAGGUGAAUGGUAUGACUGACCCACUUCUGCAGUAUUCAAGUAACUAAACUGUCUCUCCAUUGAUUUCAGCUGAUGCAGAAUCAAGCCUGGAAGGCCUUAAAGGAACUGCUGAUGUUGGAAGUUUGUGGCUGGCUUACCUUGUUCUUCACGGCCAUAGCGAGGCCACAGCCUGCUGAGGGCUGGUCUGGGCAUCUUUGUGUGACACAGCUGCUGAAACCAGAUGGCAACUUUGAGCGAUUUAGGGGACAACCUGCGAAGGCCUGGGAGGAAGGAGAUGUGCGGGUGAAAAUAAAGCGUGGGCAAGGAAAAAGUUCUGCAGUAACCUGAAAAGAAGCUUGAACUUGAUGCAGAUGGUGAAAAUAGAGAGCAGAUCCUGAUCAGAAGAGUAAGCAAACAAACCCAUCCCGACGACAGUGUAGCAGAUAGUUCAUGCACAUUAACAUCUGCAGGAAGGAAUUUUAGUCACAGGGUCAGGCAUAGACAUAAAUUGCUCCCACGUUCAUAGAGUUUGCAUCAACGUUGCUUUGACCCAUUACAGCAGCAGCAGCAAGAUCUGGGUACAUGCCUGGGUAAGGCUUGAGUGUCCUUGACUGGCUUUGGCCUCAGAGUGAUUAGAAAGCCUCAGGAAAAAAAUGUGACAAAAUCNNNNNNNNNNNNNNNNNNNNNNNNNNNNNNNNNNNNNNNNNGCGGAGCUAACAUAACUAAGAAAAAUAAGAAAAGAGGAGUAUGAAAUGGAAGCAUGAGUAUGAAGGUGAAAAGAGGAACAACAAAGCAAGAGGAAAAGGUGUCAAAAAUGGGAAGUGUAGAAGAAAGAGUGAUACCAUAUUGAAUGGGAAAUCUUUCCAAGCACGAGCAGCCCGGGCGAAGCUGGGAGGAGGAAGCUGCUCACGCGUGGCUUCUUUUGUGAUUGCUGUCUGGGUCCUGACCUGCCUUCCCAGGCUGGCAGUACUGUUUCCCCGGUGCAAGCAUGGCAGGAUGUGAUGUGGCCACACCAGGGUAACCCCCAGCGCUGCAUGUCCACGUCCACGGAAAUCACUGAAUCUAUAUCCAACCUCAGUUAAAGGACAGACACCAAGAAAAAACCACGCUGACUCCAGAUCAAGACCACACGGACGAGAUACCUGUCUAACUGCCCCGGUUAAUAUUUAACUCUUCAUGGAGGAGCUCCUACCUGCAGUAACACCAGGCUUUUCCGUGACAGCUCUCUGGUGGGUUGUUCCUCGGGGGGGGGGGGGGGGGGGGGGGGGGCGCUGCCCCCCCGCGGCGGCCUGCCGCAGCUGCGCUCUCGCGUCCGAACGUGGCCAGCGCUGGCCCUCGCACCAGGAGG
rnacentral:lncRNA from 1 species